UACAGAGGAUGCAAGCGUUAUCCGGAAUGAUUGGGCGUAAAGCGUCUGUAGGUGGCUUUUUAAGUCCGCCGUCAAAUCCCAGGGCUCAACUCUGGACAGGCGGUGGAAACUACCAAGCUCGAGUACGGUAGGGGCAGAGGGAAUUUCCGGUGGAGCGGUGAAAUGCGUAGAGAUCGGAAAGAACACCAGCGGCGAAGGCAGUCUGCUGGGCCGACACUGACACUGAGAGACGAAAGCUAGGGGAGCGAAUGGG
rnacentral:rRNA from 1 species